UACGGGGGGGGCAAGCGUUGUUCGGAAUUACUGGGCGUAAAGGGCUCGUAGGCGGCCAACUAAGUCAGACGUGAAAUCCCUCGGCUUAACCGGGGAACUGCGUCUGAUACUGGAUGGCUUGAGUUUGGGAGAGGGAUGCGGAAUUCCAGGUGUAGCGGUGAAAUGCGUAGAUAUCUGGAGGAACACCGGUGGCGAAGGCGACAUCCUGGACCGGUAUUGACGCUGAGUGAGCGAAAGCCAGGGGAGCAAACGGG
rnacentral:rRNA from 1 species